AUUGAACGCUGGCGGCAUGCCUUACACAUGCAAGUCGAACGGCAGCACGGGUGCUUGCACCUGGUGGCGAGUGGCGAACGGGUGAGUAAUACAUCGGAGCAUGUCCUGUAGUGGGGGAUAGCCCGGCGAAAGCCGGAUUAAUACCGCAUACGAUCCACGGAUGAAAGCGGGGGACCUUCGGGCCUCGCGCUAUAGGGUUGGCCGAUGGCUGAUUAGCUAGUUGGUGGGGUAAAGGCCUACCAAGGCGACGAUCAGUAGCUGGUCUGAGAGGACGACCAGCCACACUGGGACUGAGACACGGCCCAGACUCCUACGGGAGGCAGCAGUGGGGAAUUUUGGACAAUGGGCGAAAGCCUGAUCCAGCAAUGCCGCGUGUGUGAAGAAGGCCUUCGGGUUGUAAAGCACUUUUGUCCGGAAAGAAAUCCUUGACUCUAAUACAGUCGGGGGAUGACGGUACCGGAAGAAUAAGCACCGGCUAACUACGUG
rnacentral:rRNA from 1 species